rnacentral:rRNA from 1 species
GACGAACGCUGGCGGCGUGCUUAACACAUGCAAGUCGAACGAUGAUGCCCAGCUUGCUGGGUGGAUUAGUGGCGAACGGGUGAGUAACACGUGAGUAACCUGCCCUUCACUUCGGGAUAACUCCGGGAAACCGGGGCUAAUACUGGAUAUGACCUGCGCCUGCAUGGGUGUGGGUGGAAAGCUUUUGUGGUGGAGGAUGGACUCGCGGCCUAUCAGCUUGUUGGUGAGGUAGUGGCUUACCAAGGCGACGACGGGUAGCCGGCCUGAGAGGGCGACCGGCCACACUGGGACUGAGACACGGCCCAGACUCCUACGGGAGGCAGCAGUGGGGAAUAUUGCACAAUGGGAGCAAUCCUGAUCCAGCAAUGCCGCGUGUGGGAUGACGGGGCUUUGCCUUGUAAACCACUGUCGGACGGGACGAGAAGAGGUAAGAACCUCUGGGACGGUACCGUCAAAGGAAGGAUCGGCUAACUACGUGCCAGCAGCCGCGGUAAU